AACUGAAAACUUUUAAUCUGAGCUGUUCAUCAAAUUGUAUGGCUGAGAUUUCUUUCCUCUUAUUUUCAGACAUUACUGAAUUUCUCUCUCCUCCUUAAUUUUCACGUUAUUUUCUCUCUCCUCUCUAUUCUCUCCUCUUUCGUACUUUCUCUCUCUUCAACUAGCUUCUCUGUUACUCUCUCUACUGUGUUAAGAGCAAAUUUUGGCGAAAAAACUCUAGAUAUCACAAUUCAGGGUGCAACAAGGAUUUUCAUUCGAUUUGGAUUAGAUUAUAUUCCUAUGGUGAGAAAUAGAGGUGGUGCGACUUUUAAAAAAAGGAGGGACCUUUGCAAUAUUGUCUUCUAUGUUUGAUCUCCUGAUUGAUGUUCUUACUUUGUAAGCUGCUUGUUUGUGUAAUUGCAUUUUGCUGUAUUAAAGUUGCUAAUGGAGAUGCAUCUGAGAACAAGAAAAAGAAGCAGAAGAAGAAAAAGAAAAGAAAGACAGAGAAGGAUGAAGAGGUUUCAAAAAUAGAGCAAAAUGCAAAUGCAGAAGCUAAGAUAAAGUAGUCAAGCAAUCUAAGGAGAAGCCUGCCAGAGUUAAAACCUUUUUUACUACCCUUUAUUUUUGUAUACAGUGACCUCUGUGUAAAUAUGGUCAAAAUUGAAAUAGUGACCCUAUUUUUGUAUAUAGUGACUUUUAUGUAAAUGUUGUCAAAAUUGAUAUAAUUAUCUUAUUUUUAUA